GAUGAACGCUGGCGGCGUGCUUAACACAUGCAAGUCGAACGAAGCACUUUAUUUGAUUUCCUUCGGGACUGAUUAUUUUGUGACUGAGUGGCGGACGGGUGAGUAACGCGUGGGUAACCUGCCUUGUACAGGGGGAUAACAGUUGGAAACGGCUGCUAAUACCACAUAAGCGCACGGCAUCGCAUGAUGCAGUGUGAAAAACUCCGGUGGUAUAAGAUGGACCCGCGUUGGAUUAGCUAGUUGGUGAGGUAACGGCCCACCAAGGCGACGAUCCAUAGCCGACCUGAGAGGGUGACCGGCCACAUUGGGACUGAGACACGGCCCAAACUCCUACGGGAGGCAGCAGUGGGGAAUAUUGCACAAUGGGCGAAAGCCUGAUGCAGCGACGCCGCGUGAGCGAAGAAGUAUUUCGGUAUGUAAAGCUCUAUCAGCAGGGAAGAUAAUGACGGUACCUGACUAAGAAGCACCGGCUAAAUACGUG
rnacentral:rRNA from 1 species